CCUACGGGUGGCAGCAGUAGGGAAUCUUCGGCAAUGGACGGAAGUCUGACCGAGCAACGCCGCGUGAGUGAAGAAGGUUUUCGGAUCGUAAAGCUCUGUUGUAAGAGAAGAACGAGUGUGAGAGUGGAAAGUUCACACUGUGACGGUAACUUACCAGAAAGGGACGGCUAACUACGUGCCAGCAGCCGCGGUAAUACGUAGGUCCCGAGCGUUAUCCGGAUUUAUUGGGCGUAAAGCGAGCGCAGGCGGUUAGAUAAGUCUGAAGUUAAAGGCUGUGGCUUAACCAUAGUACGCUUUGGAAACUGUUUAACUUGAGUGCAGAAGGGGAGAGUGGAAUUCCAUGUGUAGCGGUGAAAUGCGUAGAUAUAUGGAGGAACACCGGUGGCGAAAGCGGCUCUCUGGUCUGUAACUGACGCUGAGGCUCGAAAGCGUGGGGAGCAAACAGGAUUAGAUACCCCAGUAGUC
rnacentral:rRNA from 1 species